rnacentral:lncRNA from 1 species
AACAGCUCCAAAUAGCCUGGUGUCCUAUUUUUCCUCAGGGGAUGGAUACCUUAGCCACCUUCCCUGGCCUGGAAUGCAAAGAAUGCCACUUCAUUUGAGUGAAUAGAGAAUUCUUGGUAAAGGAAAACAAUCCGUCUCUCUCCGUCCCUCUUUCUCUCUCAUAAAUCAUAAAUCACAGACAAGAUGGAGGUCUUUCUGACAAUACCUAGAGAAAAAAAAAAGUCGUCUUUUAGAAUCACCCAAGCACAGGCCUGGCAGUGGAGUGUCUACCUCCAGGGCCCACAGACGACCUCCCACAACCAAGCUGACGGUGAGCCUGACCUUGAGAUCCCGCACAAGAUGAGAACCCUGAGGCUCAGCGAGGUGAAGUAACUUGCCCAAGACUCGCCACCAGAAAGAAAGGGCUGCCAUUCAAACCCAGGCAGCCUAUUUCCAGACCCCCCGCUCGACACCGCCGUGUCGCGCUGCCUCACCUGGGGAGCACGAGGAAGUAUUCUGGAUAUUUACAGACUUGAGCCAAAGUCUCCAAAAGCUUUGGUUUUACUUUAGCAGCCAAGGUGGAGAAAGCAGUUCAGAAAUAGUUGUUUAUGCCUCAACAUUUGGUCCACAUUCCUAAGCCCUUCUUAGUUUUGUCUCAAUUCAUCUUUGAAAGGUGAAGUGAGUAUAGGACGAUCUUCCUUCAGGGAACUCCUAGAAAGUUCUAUUCUUUCCUCAAGUGGAAAUUCCAGGAAACUCGACAGGAAAAACCUGGAAUAUACCUGGAAGAGAACCAGGAGAUCACCCUAAUAAGAAGAAUGAAGGGGGUGCAGUUGGGCCUCGUGCUGCCAGAGGAGAAUGCUGGGUCCAGCUCUCGCAGCACUAAGAACCAAGGACUGAUUCAAGUCAGUGCGAGUGAUAGAGAGCAUUGCAGGACACUUGUGAAAACAGGGCUCCAGAUGAGCCCUGGAGCCUGGCUGCUGCAAAGACUUCCCUCUUCCUGGGACCUUCACAGGCACUUCCUAGCCUCCCUUGCAGCUCAGUGUGGGAUCGUGUAACCAAUACCGGGCCUGGCCCUCAGAAACAUCCCUUCAACUCCUUCCUUCCUGGUCUCAGCAUCUUGGGGACCACAUGUUCCAGAUACUGUAGCUAUAAAAAGGAGGCGGCUGCCCUACCCAUAUUAGAAUUUGUGUGAGC